UAGGGAAUCUUCGGCAAUGGACGGAAGUCUGACCGAGCAACGCCGCGUGAGUGAAGAAGGUUUUCGGAUCGUAAAGCUCUGUUGUUAGAGAAGAACGUUGGUAGGAGUGGAAAAUCUACCAAGUGACGGUAACUAACCAGAAAGGGACGGCUAACCACGUGCCAGCAGCCGCGGUAAUACGUAGGUCCCGAGCGUUGUCCGGAUUUAUUGGGCGUAAAGCGAGCGCAGGCGGUUCUUUAAGUCUGAAGUUAAAGGCAGUGGCUUAACCAUUGUACGCUUUGGAAACUGGAGGACUAGAGUGCAGAAGGGGAGAGUGGAAUUCCAUGUGUAGCGGUGAAAUGCGUAGAUAUAUGGAGGAACACCGGUGGCGAGAGCGGCUCUCUGGUCUGUAACUGACGCUGAGGCUCGAAAGCGUGGGGAACAAACAGG
rnacentral:rRNA from 1 species